rnacentral:ncRNA from 2 species
GGUCACGAGAACCAGCGACAAGCCCCGGCUAGCUGGUCGGCAACCCUCCUCCGCGGUGGGGUGCUCCGGGUGACGACCAGGCCGUGUUUCCACACCGGACACGGCAAGCGCGGAUU